rnacentral:lncRNA from 1 species
CGGGUGUAAAGACACCCAAAAAGGUGGAACGCUUGCUUCCUGUGCUUUCUCGUCUGCGCGCGGACGCUUUCACAUCUUUCUGCGAAAACCGACUCAUUCCCUGGCUGCUCCAACCUCGCCCGCGCUCGGCGAGGCGCAGACGACAAAGCCACACAGAGGCCCCGAGAGAAGACAGAGAAGACCGAGAGAGAGAGCUGAGAAAAACGAGAGAGACGAGACGCAGACAGGGAGAGACGAAAAGCGGCUUCUCUCUCAACUUCCACGCCCGAGUUUCUGCACUCUUCCCCCCUCUUUUGACUCCGCCCAGCCAAUUUCGUGUGCCUAUAUCGAACGCGUUGUGGCCUGCACGUUCUCUCGGAGACAAAAUACGCUCUUUUAUCUCUGAUAUUUGGAGAUGGUACCAACCACGCAGCUUCUAUCCUUUGCUCGAAGCCCAGAGACUCGCGUUCUCUUCUCUAUGUCAACUUCUGCAAAGGACCGCUGCUGAACCGCCUGCCCGCGCCGUUCACCGCCCUCGUAUCUGUGUGCAGCGACAGCGGACCUUUCUGUUCAUUGUCCAUCCUUCUCGUGCUCUGUCAAAGCCACCAGACUCUCCUCUCGUGUCUCCCCUUCGACAAAAGCGCGACGACAUGACCGGCGGCAGUGGCGAGUAACUCCGGACGACUCGGCUAGCUGCCCCUGCGUCCUCUUCCUCCACUUCUCCUCUUUCUCUUCUUCUCCCUCCUCUUCGUCUCUGCAUCAUGCCAGCUUCACCGAGCGGCGGAGGGGAAGAGCCUCGUCCUGGCAGGAGAAGAAGGGAGUCACAGAGCCCGCGAGAGGUGUACAUACAGCAGACGGGGGCGGGGAAGAACAGCCAGCGAGAGGCUGGCGACUCCGUUUCCACGCAUGCGCCUUCUGCGACCGCGCCGCUGCCCUCCUUUCCUUCGCUAAACAGAGACGUCAACGAAGGCACAACAUCAAAACGUUUGACUCUCCCCCUUGCUCCCAAUGCGCUGAGUAAUCCAGAGAACUCUUCUUCCUCUUGCUUCUCUUCUUCUCCCCCCUCUUCGUUCCCGUUUUCUUCGUCUGCGUCUUUGGAGGAAUCUUCUCCGCUGUUUGAGAGUCUGGUGUGUUCUGCGGAGUCUCCACACGGGCGCGAGACUGCCUCUGUGCACAGCUUCUCAGAAGUCAGAGCCUCAGGGUUCGCGGUCGCGCUGCCGCUAGUUGGGCUCGUCUCCGGCUCUUCUCGCCAGGAGCGGCGACCACAGGAGAUUCCACUCAAGCCUCUAUCCUCCCAGAGAGAAGAAGAGCGAGAGUCCCUCUCCACAGACGGCCGACAGCCCUCCUUCGAGCGCAUCCUCCUCAAGGAUUCAGAAACUCAUCAUUUCUCGGAGGCGAGUUCGCGUUUUCUAGGGGACUCCGAAGCCUCUGCUGCCUCUUUUUUGCCGCUCUUCUCUCCCGCCCCGGGACGUGGAGCUCUGCCGCGCCCGCGCCGCCUGCAUGCGGCUGCUCCGGCGUCGCUGCUGCGUCUCGGCCGCCGCGUC